GGCGUUAUUGUGAGAGGAGUCUCUCAGGGGCGCCUUGUUGUAUUUCUUGCCCUGCGAAAGUGGCAGAUUACUUAUUAGCUCCUUGAUCGCUUAACCGCCUGCAACGUAACUCAAACCUAGGGUGACGUUUAAACAAAGAUACAAACAACUUGCUGAAAAGUUAGAAUUCAAGUAACUACUAACAAUUCCCUUUAUUAGUAUUACUCAAAAGAAUCAACUGAAAAAAUAAUACUCCAACCUCUUUGUUUCUGAGACUUUAGUCUUCAGAAGGUGGAUCACAUUACAUAAUACUUUUAAUUGUUGUCCAUCAACUUCAAAAGCAUUUAAGCCUCAACAAAAGGACAUCACUGCAUGGAUAACAUCAAUAUUAAAUAGACAAUAUACUUUGCAAAGACAGAUGAAGAAGUUCUGUUCAUUCAGCAAUGAAAACCUGACUGUGGCUUAACUCGUGAACCCUUUUUCCUAAACUAAUGCAAGCAAAAUCAGACCAACAAGUUAUGCCUCAGCAAUAUUCCAUACAAUUAUACAACAAAGUUGAAAAACAGACAAUAGUUUAGUUUUGUUUAGAGUGCUUGAGGUACCCUACAUUGAAAUUUGUGAUACCUUCAA